GGUGAAGGACACCAGAGUACUGGUUGCUACUGAGCAGCCAAAAAUGUUGGACAGACUUCAGGAAGCNAAUAUGCUUUUGGAAGAUAUCCAGAAAGGUCUGAAUAAUUACUUGGAAAAGAAAAGGCUGUUUUUUCCAAGGUAGGUUGCUUAACAAAUCUC
rnacentral:sRNA from 1 species